rnacentral:rRNA from 1 species
UACAGAGGGUGCAAGCGUUAAUCGGAAUUACUGGGCGUAAAGCGUGCGUAGACGGUAGCGUAAGUCGGGUGUGAAAGCCCCGGGCUCAACCUGGGAAUUGCAUUCGAGACUGCUCUGCUAGGGUGCGGAAGAGGGGAGCGGAAUUUCCGGUGUAGCGGUGAAAUGCGCAGAUAUCAGGAGGAACACCGGUGGCGAAGGCGGGUCUCUGGGCCGGUACCGACGCUGGAGGAGCGAAAGCGUGGGGAGCGAACAGG